AUGGGGUUCGUGCUGCGGGUGAGGCUGGCCUCCUUAAUAGCGGUGGCGCGCGGCGGCAACUUCCUCUACAAGGACUACAAGCUCGCCCACGGUUCCACGGCCCUCCAUGUACGCCGCUGCUGCAGGUUCACCCCCCCCUCUCUCUCUCUCUCUCUCUCGGAUGCUCCUCUCAUUUUCUUGGAUUGCAGGUCAACACUAUCACGGGGCAGGACGAGGUUUUUGCAGUAG
rnacentral:rRNA from 1 species